CCGCACGUCGCGUGGUGUCCGG
rnacentral:siRNA from 1 species